rnacentral:rRNA from 1 species
ACGCACGCUGGCGGCGUGCUUAACACCUGCAAGUCGCACGGAAAGGCCCUGCUUUUGUGGGGUGCUCGAGUGGCGAACGGGUGAGUAACACGUGAGUAACCUGCCCUUGACUUUGGGAUAACUUCAUGAAACUGGGGCUAAUACCGGAUAGGAGCUCCUGCUGCAUGGUGGGGGUUGGAAAGUUUCGGCGGUUGGGGAUGGACUCGCGGCUUAUCAGCUUGUUGGUGGGGUAGUGGCUUACCAAGGCUUUGACGGGUAGCCGGCCUGAGAGGGUGACCGGCCACAUUGGGACUGAGAUACGGCCCAGACUCCUACGGGAGGCAGCAGUGGGGAAUAUUGCACAAUGGGCGGAAGCCUGAUGCAGCAACGCCGCGUGCGGGAUGACGGCCUUCGGGUUGUAAACCGCUUUCGCCUGUGACGAAGCGUGAGUGACGGUAAUGGGUAAAGAAGCACCGGCUAACUACGUG